rnacentral:rRNA from 1 species
UACGUAGGGUGCGAGCGUUAAUCGGAAUUACUGGGCGUAAAGCGUGCGCAGGCGGUUCGUUGUGUCGGCGGUGAAAGCCCCGGGCUCAACCUGGGAAUGGCCGUUGAAACUGGCGAACUGGAGUGUGGCAGAGGGGGGUGGAAUUCCGCGUGUAGCAGUGAAAUGCGUAGAGAUGUGGAGGAAUACCGAUGGCGAAGGCAGCCCCCUGGGUCAAUACUGACGCUCAUGCACGAAAGCGUGGGGAGCAAACAGG